CUUAGAGCAAUACCAAAUAAGUUCGAGAGAAGAAAGUUAGGGGCGACUCUGGCGCAGAUAGAUGAACCUACGUCGGAUUAGCUAGUUGGUAGGGUAAAGGCCUACCAAGGCGAUGAUCCGUAGCUGGUCUGAGAGGACGAACAGCCACACUGGGACUGAGACACGGCCCAGACUCCUACGGGAGGCAGCAGUGGGGAAUAUUGGACAAUGGGCGCAAGCCUGAUCCAGCGAUGCCGCGUGUGUGAAGAAGGCCUACGGGUUGUAAAGCACUUUCGUUUGGGAAGAAGGGUUAAUGGUUAAGAGCUGUUAACUUUGACGUUACUAAAAGAAGAAGCACCGGCUAACUCUGUGCCAGCAGCCGCGGUAAUACAGAGGGUGCGAGCGUUAAUCGGAAUUACUGGGCGUAAAGGGUGAGUAGGUGGAGCUUUAAGUCAGGUGUGAAAUACCCGAGCUUAACUUGGGAAUAGCGCUUGAUACUGAAGCUCUAGAGUACAGUAGAGGAUAGUGGAAUUUCCGGUGUAGCGGUGAAAUGCGUAGAUAUCGGAAGGAACAUCAGUGGCGAAGGCGGCUAUCUGGACUGAAACUGACACUGAGUCACGAAAGCGUGGGUAGCAAACAGGAUUAGAUACCCUGGUAGUCCAUGCUGUAAACGAUGAGAACUUGCUGUUGGUACCGCAAGGUAUUAGUAGCGCAGCUAACGCGAUAAGUUCUCCGCCUGGGGAGUACGGCCGCAAGGUUAAAACUCAAAGGAAUUGACGGGGGCCCGCACAAGCGGUGGAACAUGUGGUUUAAUUCGAUGCAACGCGAAGAACCUUACCUACUCUUGUAUCCCUGGAAGGCAGCAGAGAUGUUGCUGUGCCGCAAGGAACCAGGAGACAGGUGCUGCAUGGCUGUCGUCAGCUCGUGUUGUGAGAUGUUGGGUUAAGUCCCGUAACGAGCGCAACCCUUGUUCUUAAUUACCAUCAGGUUAUGCUGGGGACUUUAAGAAGACUGCCGGUGACGAAUCGGAGGAAGGUGGGGACGAGGUCAAGUCAUCAUGGCCCUUACGAGUAGGGCUACACACGUGUUACAAUGGUAAAUACAGAGGGAUGCUAAACAGCAAUGUGGAGCAAAUCCUUGAAAGUUUAUCGUAGUCCGGAUUGAAGUCUGCAACUCGACUUCAUGAAGCUGGAAUCGCUAGUAAUCGCAGAUCAGAACGCUGCGGUGAAUACGUUCCCGGGCCUUGUACACACCGC
rnacentral:rRNA from 1 species